rnacentral:rRNA from 1 species
UACGUAGGGGGCGAGCGUUGUCCGGAAUCAUUGGGCGUAAAGAGCGUGUAGGCGGCUUGGCAAGUCUGACGUGAAAGCCCGCGGCUCAACCGCGGAUUGUCGUUGGAAACUGCCUCGCUAGAGUCCGGAAGAGGAGAGCGGAAUUCCUGGUGUAGCGGUGGAAUGCGCAGAUAUCAGGAAGAACACCCGUGGCGAAGGCGGCUCUCUGGGACGGUACUGACGCUGAGACGCGAAAGCGUGGGGAGGUGAACAGG